UGGGAACCUUCCCUAUGGUUCGGAAUAGCUCAGGGAAACUUGGGGUAAUACCGGAUAAGCCCUUCGGGGGAAAGAUUUAUCGCCAUUGGAUGGGCCCGCGUCGGAUUAGCUAGUUGGUGAGGUAACGGCUCACCAAGGCAACGAUCCGUAGCUGGUCUGAGAGGAUGGCCAGCCACAUUGGGACUGAGACACGGCCCAGACUCCUACGGGAGCAG
rnacentral:rRNA from 1 species